ACUUACUGUAAACAAAAGAAUCAUCUAGUGACCCUUCAGUAACUGCAGUGUGCUCUCUGGUGCUACAAAUACCCCUAUUGCGCUAGUUAUUGCUUUAGUGCAGACUUCCCAAGUCUCCCGGAAGUUUCGGGAGUGUCCCGCAUAUUGAUAGCGGCUCCCUGACGCCUGCAAAUUAUAUACAAUCUCCCGGAAUCUGCAAUGAGUGAGCAAGAGUGUGCGCUAGAGAGUGUCUGCGUGCUUGUAUGACUAUCAAUGCAGCGCAUGUGAGAGCAAAGCGUCCUGAUAGCGCUGUGUUGCUACUUAUUAGACCAGUCGUACCCCCCGGGACCGACAACCAGUUUGAGUUUGGUCGAUGUGUCUCCUGUAUCAGUGGUUGCCAUGAUGACUGGCUGCAGGUUCAGGUUAGAGGAGGUAAUGUUGACUUGCCUGCGGGACAUGACAUUGGGGGCGUGGCUACAUCUUCGAUUCCUCCGUUGAUUUCGAAGGUCGAGAUCGGGAGGUAAUUUUGACUAAUAUUCGAUUUACAAUCGAGAUCGUGACUCCCAUAAUGUCGCCUCAUGCUAGCUGAUCACAGCUGUUAGCCAUUGCAUUAUUGUCAAGCUCCCCCCAGAAGAAACUCAUGAGACUGUGGUAGAACCACCGAAGACUGGAGAAGAUUUACAGAAAGGAGGGACCUGAAAGAUCAGAGGUCAAAACUCUAAAGGAGUCUACAACAUUGUAAUAUAAAUGUACUUCCACCACCUGAAACUGAAGAUAGUAUGGAUGACAGCCUUUUCUUUCCAAUGAAAUGUGCAUAUAUGCUCAUUUUGAGUUGCUCAGAGACAGCUUGGAGCUCUGUAUGGAGGAAUGUAGGAGAGCCAUCACAGAAUACUUCAAAAAACCUGCCAACAAAGAUGUCAAGGAUUUCCUUUCUAAUAGUGAAGAUAAUGAAAUGGGACAUCGUAUGGUUCAGCUGUUUAUGGCAGACUUUGGAGAGAGCCGGUCUUUCUUUCAGAUAAGUCUGCCACCACAGCUGAUGUUGAGAUAACCCUCACUCUACCUGAAAGUCCUUGCCUGAUACAGCUUGUUUCAGGGCAAGUCAGUAUUGACCAUGUCAUAUCGGAGGGCAUCACACCAACUGUUUUGACAGGGCUUGCUGCUGUGUUUGCGAUCUACUGUAUCUUCAACCUUCAGUAUCUUGAAGAGGCGGACUGUACUCUGGAAUUCAUUCAGAAAGAGGAACAAAGGCCGUCUGACCACAAGGUUGUCUCCAAGAAGAUAGGUCCGAUCAUUGAGAGGACGCCUGCCACAGUCAAUACACACUACUGAAAACCCUCCCUGACUUUGAAUGGGGCCUUGUAUAGACAGUGGAUAAUACAUUGUUGCCUUGGUAUUAAGCUGA